ACCAUCUACAUGUCCUUACUAGCAAAGUCCAACCAGAUGUUUCCUGGGAAAUGUUAAAGUCAAUGCGGUUUCUGUGAUUUGGCUCCCUCACUUGCUGCGUGUCAGUUAGCACUGAGUUAAAGGGCAGAAAGCAGCCCUUCUGACAUCUACUGGGGAAUUACUCAAAGGAUGUUACAUGGCAUGUCUGCACUUCUGUCAUGUAGAUAGCCUUUUUCCACGCACAGUCAAAAAACUACAGAUCUGCUGCCGAGCCUGCUUCUCCAAACCCACAGAGAGCAUUGCAGAUUAUUUCAUAAACCUUCACUUGAGAUGAUGUAGCUGUAUGGGAGGGAAUGUGAUGAUUUACAGACACAGACAAUGAAAAGGAUGUCAUCACCCAAAUGACACGCCAACAUACACGGAUCAAACCACUGACCCUCCAGUUAGGUCACUCAGUAGAUGAUCUGCUCCUGAGCCACAGCCACAUAGAUAGAUGGCCCUGACAGACAUUACUUCAUACACCCAGACCAGCUAAGUUGAAGCGUGUUACACAAGGAGCGACACUGACGUCACGGUGGAGCUGCACUGCAGGCCUGGAAGCCCUAACUAGCAUCCUUGGGUCAAUCAAAGAAGAGGAAAUAUCUUCCUCAUGUCAUAGGCGAGAAAUUUCCCGUGCCCCGUCUCCAAGAGGUGCAACACACGCUCCACACAUGACAGUGUGUUAAGCCACCAUUACAUCAUGUGUCACUGCGCAAUAGGCAUUCAUACACUUUUGCUCCAGUACUGACAAUAAAAUCCUACAAUCCUCCUUUUUCAAUUAUUCUAGCAAAGUUAAACAUGUUAACAUCAUUUUUAAUGAUCUUUUUAUGUGCUGCAAAUUUUCAUCAGCCAAAACCCUAAUGUAUCGGGCCUUUUUGUGCUGCCAAAACGUCUCUGAGUUCUUCGGGUCAUGGACCAGACCCAAGAUCUCUGGGGGUGUCGCAUGGUGUCGAGCACUGGGAUGCUGGCAGUUGAUCCUUUGGAUUUAGUGGACUCUGUUUCGGGGCAUUGUUAUAUUCCCCAGGCAGUCCUGGGAGAAGAAGGGAGAGACUGGGGUAAGUUGCUCCAUGGGGCAAGAUUAGCCAUGCCUGCUAGCUGCCUCCUUCCAAGAGAAAGAUGGUCACUGGCGCCACCUAUGCUUUACCCUUGAUCAGACUUAGAGGAUUCUCUCAUGAGCAACCAGAGUAGAAUCCUCCAGGAGCAGGUAAAGGAUUUGCCAUACAGCUGAACUCUCCAUAGCAUCUCCAUAGUAGCCUGAUAACAACAGUCUACUCAGGUAGUAUCUAAAUGAAUUCUGCCAAAAAUUAGGUCAUGAAAAGUUGUUAUCAAAAUAUCAGAUGAUGGCCACCAUUCCACCCCUUCAUUCCAAAAGUAUUAUUGACAAAAUUACUACAAUUUAUUCUCAUUAUUGACACAAUACUUAUAUUUCACUUUAAAUAUGAUUGUUAUAUAUGCAAUACAAUUUUCUGUUUAACUUUUGUACCACAUUUAUUGAAUCCCACUAAUCAUGCAUUUAACAAUUUUUUGAUUUAUGGGGGUUUCUAGAGUCUAGAGCACCAUGCAGCACAGAAGACCGAGUUCUGAGAGCAAAAGCAGCACAAAAUUAGCUCCCACUGUCAUUGUGAUAUUGUUGGUUAUAUGAUACAACCAAUAUCUUUGUAAAUGGACUGGUAUUUAUGAAGCAUUUUUCACCAUUACUAGGCACUCAAAGCCCAAAGCAAGGUACUUCAUGCUGUUAAUACCUUUUUUAUUGAUCGCUCGCUAAUGGAAGCAGUGGAUGCAUAUUGAAUUUCACAAUCUUACUCAAUUAACUUUUAUUUGUAUACAAACAACCAAAAUGACAGUAGCCUCAAGACCUUUUGACACGCAGGCUGCAGGAUCCAGGGAUCAAAGCUAACAGCCAUCCUUGUAUUUGGGAGAGAAGUAGCUACGUUUAAGACAGUCUGAGGAGCUUGGAAAGAAAAGCGUCUGGACUUCUUUAAGUUGCUUGAAGAUGUUUCACCUCUCAUCCGAGAAGCUUAUUAGGUUCUAAGGUCAGAUGGUGGAGAGUCCCAGAUUUGAUUUUAAAACAGGCCUCCAGUAAAUGCUCUAUAUAAGUGAAGCCAAGUUUUUGGUUGCAACUGUGAAGAUGUAUGUCUUGCCAGUGCAGGGUUCUCAUACUUCUUUUCCAUUUAAUCAUUGCAUGGUGUGCAGCCAGUUCUGUCUUGCUGCCUUUUGAGAACCAGCUUACAUUUCGACAGGUUUGAGCUCUGAACACGUUACGUAGCAUUAUGCUGGAAAAGUUGGGGUAAUUUUAUGGGAAGAAAAUAAAACAGAGACAGUGCAGGGAUUAAGUUUACCUACUUUGAAGAUGCCAAGGAGAGGAAAGUCUGAAGAGUUUAGAACACUUAGUGAUAUAUAAAGCAGCGUUACUGUUUUACUGAAGCGUUUAGCAUUGUGGCCUUCAUCAGGGUCUUCAUAAAAACAUAAUGUAGGCAGCAUUUUGAAAUAGGAGAGGUAAACUAUAAGUUUGGCUGGUUGCUCUACAUUGCUUAGAGCUGCCUUUAGAUCCCCAGAGUUAAAACUAACAGAUCUCAAGCAUGAAGCUUGGGGUGUGUUGGAGUUGCAAAUAACAAAUUUCCUCUGAUUGUGAGUCUCUCUCAGUUUGUGUGUGCUGACUUUGCACUGUAGCCCACCCCUUAAUUCCCACCCCACCCCGUCUUCCACUGCUGUGAAGCUGGAUAAGAAUAUGAUUUCACACAAAGCAUAAACACUUACGUUAAAUAUGUGUCUGUGGUGCCUGUGCGCUGGCUUCUUGACUCUUAGAGUUUUGCUAAAGUCUCUCUAGAGGGGCUCUGACUGGAACACGCCUUUGGGUAGCAUGGGAACAGGCAGGCUUGGUCUGGGAAAGAGAGCAGGCUGUUCAUUUCUGUUGCACAAUCCAAUUAGCUCAGAGUUCCACCGAUAAGAAACCCCACCAGAUCACUACAGAAGCUUUGUGUGAGAAGUCGUGCAUCUAAUAGCUGGCUGGUAAACAAUCAGCAGCAUCUUCAACAGGUUUUGCUUUCACCAGGGAUCUACGACGGCUGGAUAAGAACAGAGAUCAUGCUGACUGCUUACCUGCUGCCAAUCUUCUUCAUCUGCGCAGGAAUCACUGCAGAAGCUGUUCCAUGCAACGAGGACCUGUUUGACAUCAAUGUUGACAACUGCCUGUCGGACUUCAACAAAAGCAUGGAGACAAGUGACUAUCAGAACAUGUGCCCGUGGCCUAUGGUUAAAAGCAACUACAUCAAAUUGAUGACAUGUGUGGAAGACUGGGCUACGAAAACUUGGUGUAGGGGUUAUGGAUUUUUGGUAGAUGAGAUUUACUUGGAGGUCCACCAGACGUACUUUUCGCUCUGUGGAUACAUUCGUGACCCCCCACUCUUCACUCUCAUCAUGUUAAUAGCACCGUGUAUUAUUGUCACACUUUUUCUGCCUCUUCUGUGUGCUCACAUCGCCCCCAGGGGCACAUAAAUACCCAGCAAAGGAAAAUUGGAAUAUUUUUCAGCCAGUGUUCUGACAGUGCUCUGACAGUGCUAACUGUGCUUGCUACCUCUGAUGCAGAGAUUCAGGAAAUCCAUCCUGGAAGAAGACACUUCAAGCUAAUAAACAAUCAUUUUACAUAAAUCAGAAAAUACAUUUUCUAUUCAAUGCAUUAGUAAAAACACCUGACUACUUAAGUUUGGUUGGAUAAGUAUCUUGGGCUGUUCACAAAGAACUUCAUAAUCCAAAAGUCUGCAACGGAGAGGACAACUGUACAACUGAGAGUCUUGGACCUAAAUGUAUUUAUCUAUGCAGACAAAUUGCAGGGGAGCUUAUAAACGGGUGUCGUACAUUGAGCAACAAUGACUGCAAAUCCCCCAAACGUCAUGUUUGGUGGAACAAAGCAAAAAUCUCACUUGUUUUAAAUUUUCCCGUUCCCUUCAGGAUCUCUGUGCACCUCUGCACUAAUUCCAGCGCUCCGGCUAUUUUCCGAUCUCUCUCUCUGGACUCUGACCACUUGUAUGUCCUCCCUUUUGUCAAAACAACAACACUUCCAGCCUUAAAUUUAAUAUUUGGAGAAGAAGAAUGUCAUAGAGAACAACAUCUAGUGACUAGCAGAGAUGGGCAGUAACACGUUACUUGUAAUGCGUUGCUGUAAUCUGAUUACUUUUUUCAAGUAACGAGUAAUGUAAGGGAUUACUAUUGCAAAAACGGUAAUUAGA